UUGACAUCCACGGAAUUUGGCAGAGAUGCCUUAGUGCCUUCGGGAACCGUGAGACAGGUGCUGCAUGGCUGUCGUCAGCUCGUGUUGUGAAAUGUUGGGUUAAGUCCCGCAACGAGCGCAACCCUUAUCCUUUGUUGCCAGCGGCUCGGCCGGGAACUCAAAGGAGACUGCCGGUGAUAAACCGGAGGAAGGUGGGGAUGACGUCAAGUCAUCAUGGCCCUUACGGCCAGGGCUACACACGUGCUACAAUGGCGCAUACAAAGAGAAGCGACCUCGCGAGAGCAAGCGGACCUCAUAAAGUGCGUCGUAGUCCGGAUUGGAGUCUGCAACUCGACUCCAUGAAGUCGGAAUCGCUAGUAAUCGUAGAUCAGAAUGCUACGGUCGAAUACGUUCCGGGCCUUGUACACACCGCCCGUCACACCAUGGGAGUGGGUUGCAAAAGAAGUAGGUAGCUUAACCUUCGGGAGGGCGCUUACCACUUUGUGAUUCAUGACUGGGGUGAAGUCGUAACAAGGUAAGCGUAGAUGA
rnacentral:rRNA from 1 species